rnacentral:lncRNA from 1 species
UGGUAUUCAGGUGUGGUUCUUGGUAGUCUCUCUGUAUGUUUGGCGUUAUUUUUUCCAUAUAGCUAUGUCACUUCUAGAAGUACAAAUCAGUUGUAAAUUGAACCCGUCCUUGUUGUUCUAGCUUGACCGCAUCAUUUAAGCGUUAUGGUCAAAAUAAAAGUUUUCCUAAGAAGCCCAUCAACAUUCCUAUUAUAACAUAACAGCAACCAAAGACGUCUUCAGGAGUGAAGAAAAGCACUUGGGAGAUUAAGAGCUUCGUUUAUUGAAAUUAAUAAUUUAUGAUGACUAUUUUCUCCCCAGGCAUUGAACACUGCUGAAAAAACUUGGCUGAAAAAGCGAACAUAUCAAGACCAAGAUCAUAGCUGCGUCUACACCGUAAAACUCGGUCUCAGUCAAACGAACUACACAUUUGAGCAGCACUUCAAGACGCGUGGUCAAGAAAUACACCGCACGCUGUACGCAAAGCUAGAAGAUGGCAGUACUGGUCCUUCGAUGUUAGUCAGCGCAAGACCUGAUGAAACAGGCGGCCUACCAUACACUCUGAAGUUCUGGAAUGAACAAGAAAGGUGUGGUAUCCUCCAACUUCAUUAUGAAGGCAAAAAUCACUACGAAAUGCACACAUGGGAUAGUAAAGUUGACCAGACAGCAACAAAUUGCGAAAGGAACUACAAUAAUUUUAUGGGCAAAGGAACAUCAUACGACGUUUAUGCAAGCAGCUGCAAGUCUGCCGCCUAGAGACGCUGAUGUGAAAGUUUCUCACAUGAUCGGCCUCUUGGUGAAAAUUCAAUCUGAAAAGUAUAGUUUGUAGAAUGUAGCAGUAAAUUAGAGUAUUUCUUAAAAAUCAGAAAGGUCUCUUUGUUUACAUCCCAUCCUUCAUUAGAAGAAUUGUUGACAACGUCAGCAGGCUUUCUUUGACAUUCUCCCGCUUGCAGCCGGCACUACUUCUUUACCCAUCCUACCGAGGUUCCUCGAGAAACAAAAAUCAAGUGAUCUCCGAGUUGUCUACGCCAGCACAAUUUA